ncrna:unclassified sequences DTF3800-X RNA
UAGUGAGUAAGUCCUUUCCGAAACGGAUGAGGCCACCAUGAGGUGGGUGGGACAAAGUAGGAAAGGGUUCACUU